CAAAAAGUAGCUUACACCACAAAGCAUCUGGCUUACAACCAGAAGACGCUGUCCAUACAACCUUUUUGA
rnacentral:tRNA from 1 species